rnacentral:rRNA from 1 species
UCUACAGUCAUACCAUCCUGAAUGCACCCAAUCUUGUCUGAACUGAGAAGCUAAGCAGGGUCAGGCCUGGUUAGUACUUGGAUGGGAGACAAUGGUAAAACCCCAGAAGUUGGAAGAU